UGCGUAGGCAGCGAGCGUUGUUCGGAAUUACUGGGCGUAAAGAGUGUGUAGGCGGUGCUCUAAGUCUGUCGUGAAAUCUCCCGGCUUAACUGGGAGGGUGCGGCGGAAACUGGAGUGCUAGAGGGUGGGAGAGGAAAGCGGAAUUCCUGGUGUAGCGGUGAAAUGCGUAGAUAUCAGGAGGAACACCUGCGGUGUAGACAGCUUUCUGGACCACUUCUGACGCUGAGACACGAAAGCGUGGGUAGCAAACAGG
rnacentral:rRNA from 1 species